AUUGAUUUGACUUUAGUGAGAAAAUCAGUCCUUGAGUACGCCUAGCUAUACUCAAAUGGAUCUGGCUAUGCUUUCUUUCUCUCUUUUUUUGGUUCAGGCAUUCGCAUAUUGGCUUACGCCUUACCGACUACAAGCAGGGAACCGCUCCCACACUGCUACCUUAGUGUUCAAAUGGAUACUACACCUUUCUUCCCAAUUCUCAGUGACACGAAUUCUUUCUAAUCCAGAGAACUGCUUGACGUAAUCCGCUCGUACGACGACCGUCUGGAACGAAAAAAACUGACCGAUGAUGGAAAGCUUUCUUUUGCACGUGUACGGACGACUAUAGAAUUGCAUUGCAUAUGUAACGGUUUCAUCCGCGACAACUAAAAAAAGAGUAUAGAAUAGAUGGUGACGUGGGUGGAAAAAGAAAGAUAGUAAAAA
rnacentral:misc_RNA from 1 species